UACGGAGGAUUCAAGCGUUAUCCGGAUUUAUUGGGUUUAAAGGGUGCGUAGGCGGUCGGAUAAGUUAGAGGUGAAAUCCCGAGGCUCAACUUCGGAAUUGCCUCUGAUACUGUUCGGCUAGAGAGUAGUUGCGGUAGGCGGAAUGUAUGGUGUAGCGGUGAAAUGCUUAGAGAUCAUACAGAACACCGAUUGCGAAGGCAGCUUACCAAGCUACUUCUGACGUUGAGGCACGAAAGCGUGGGGAG
rnacentral:rRNA from 1 species